UGAGGAAUUUUGCGCAAUGGGAGCAAUCCUGACGCAGCAACGCCGCGUGGGUGAUGAAGGCCUUCGGGUCGUAAAGCCCUGUCAGGUGGGAAGAAUGUCCCGGGACUAAACAGGUUCCGGGAGUGACGGUACCACCAGAGGAAGCACCGGCUAACUCCGUGCCAGCAGCCGCGGUAAUACGGAGGGUGCAAGCGUUAUUCGGAAUUACUGGGCGUAAAGCGCGUGUAGGCGGUCCGGCAAGUGUGAGGUGAAAGCCCCGGGCUUAACCCGGGAAGGGCAUUGGAAACUGUGGGACUUGAGUACGGGAGAGGAUGGGGGAAUUCCCGGUGUAGAGGUGAAAUUCGUAGAGAUCGGGAGGAAUAUCAGUGGCGAAGGCGCCCAUCUGGACGGUAACUGACGCUGAGACACGAAAGCGUGGGGAGCAAACA
rnacentral:rRNA from 1 species